GACAGAGGUGCCGAGCGUUAGGCGGAAUCACUGGGCUUAAAGCGUGUGUAGGCGGGCGAUCAAGUACCUUGUGAAAUCCCACGGCUCAACCGUGGAACCGCUGGGUAUACUGGUUGUCUUGAGCCGGCUAGGGGCGAGCGGAACAGACGGUGGAGCGGUGAAAUGCGUAGAUAUCGGGAGGAACACCAAUGGCGAAAGCAGGUAACUGGACUAUUACUGACACUAAACUACGAAAGCUAGGGGAGCAAACAGG
rnacentral:rRNA from 1 species